UACGUAGGUGGCAAGCGUUGUCCGGAUUUAUUGGGUUUAAAGGGUGCGUAGGCGGCCUAUUAAGUCAGUGCUGAAAUAUCCCGGCUUAACCGGGAGGGUGGCAUUGAUACUGAUGGGCUUGAGUAAAGUUGAGGUAGGCGGAAUUGACGGUGUAGCGGUGAAAUGCUUAGAUAUCGUCAAGAACACCUAUUGCGAAGGCAGCUUACUAGCUUCUAACUGACGCUGAUGCACGAAAGUGUGGGGAUCAAACAGG
rnacentral:rRNA from 1 species